rnacentral:misc_RNA from 1 species
UCAAUCCCCACUUGCACAGCCCCUACAACCACAAUGAACACACUCAACAACCUUUUCUUCCCUUAGAUGCUUGGGGACCCUGCAAACACAAGUUGUGCCAAAGUUGUGAUCCCUUGGCUGAAUGCAGCGUAGGCAGCAGAGUCGUUCAUAUCCUGGCUUUUUCCAUUUUGCAAUCAGGUUACGAUCGCCAUAACCUUGUUCCAAGCAGAACUCGUAAAGCUCUUUAGAAAUUUCAUUCGUUUUAUAAUAAAUGUCAAAAAUGUAGCGGCUCCUUUGAUGGGUAAUUCUGAAAAUAGGCCAGAGAGUUUCACAUUUUCUCUUGCCAUCAUGAGGAUCAUUUUCAGCUUCCCUCAUCUUGGCAUCUAGCUCGCGAAGAGUAGGCUCGAUCAACUCCCACCCAUCUGGAUAUUUGAUCCGGUUGGUCUUCACUUUGGGCAUUUCUGCAACAGAAGCUGGAUUUCCUUCGCUAGACUGUAGAAGCGAGG